rnacentral:rRNA from 1 species
GUGCCUACGGGAGGCAGCAGUGGGGAAUAUUGCACAAUGGGGGAAACCCUGAUGCAGCGACGCCGCGUGAGUGAAGAAGUAUUUCGGUAUGUAAAGCUCUAUCAGCAGGGAAGAAAAAAGACGGUACCUGACUAAGAAGCCCCGGCUAACUACGUGCCAGCAGCCGCGGUAAUACGUAGGGGGCAAGCGUUAUCCGGAUUUACUGGGUGUAAAGGGAGCGCAGGCGGCGCGUUAAGCCUGGUGUGAAAGCCCGCGGCCCAACCGCGGGACAGCAUUGG